GGUUAUAUGGUGUCAUGGUUGGCACUUCAGACUCAGACUCUGACUCUGACAAUCUGAGUUCAAAUCUCGGUAGAACCU
rnacentral:tRNA from 1 species